rnacentral:rRNA from 1 species
GAAGGCCCAGCUUGCUGGGUUGGAUGAGUGGCGAACGGGUGAGUAACACGUGAGUAACCUGCCCCCUUCUUUGGGAUAACGGUCGGAAACGGCUGCUAAUACCGGGUAUUCACUGUCCUUCGCAUGGGGGGUGGUGGAAAGGUUUUUUCUGGUGGGGGAUGGGCUCGCGGCCUAUCAGCUUGUUGGUGGGGUGAUGGCUUACCAAGGCUUUGACGGGUAACCGGCCUGAGAGGGUGACCGGUCACAUUGGGACCGAGAUACGGCCCAGACUCCUACGGGAGGCAGCAGUGGGGAAUAUUGCACAAUGGGCGAAAGCCUGAUGCAGCGACGCCGCGUGAGGGAUGACGGCCUUCGGGUUGUAAACCUCUUUCGCUCAUGGUCAAGCCGCAACAGUGGUUGUGGUGAGGGUAGUGGGUAAAGAAGCACCGGCUAACUACGUGCCAGCAGCCGCGGUAAUACGUAGGGUGCGAGCGUUGUCCGGAAUUAUUGGGCGUAAAGGGCUUGUAGGCGGUUUGUCGCGUCUGCCGUGAAAUCCUCUGGCUUAACUGGGGGCGUGCGGUGGGUACGGGCAGGCUUGAGUGCGGUAGGGGAGACUGGAAC